rnacentral:rRNA from 1 species
AGCAGCCGCGGUAAUUCCAGCUCCAAUAGCGUAUAUUAAAGUUGUUGCAGUUAAAAAGCUCGUAGUUGAAUUUCGAGACCGGUUUACUGGUCGUGCUUUUGUACGUACUGGUAUUAUUGGUUUCUCCUUUCUGACGAAUCAUAAUGCCAUUAAUUUGGUGUUUUGGGGAAUCAGGAUUGUUACUUUGAAAAAAUUAGAGUGUUUAAAGCAGGCUCACGCUUGAAUACAUUAGCAUGGAAUAACGAAAUAGGACGUUUGAUUUUAUUUUGUUGGUUUCUAGGAUCGACGUAAUGAUUAAUAGGGAUAGUUGGGGGCAUUAGUAUUCAAUUGUCAGAGGUGAAAUUCUUGGAUUUAUUGAAGACUAACUACUGCGAAAGCAUUUGCCAAGGAUGUUUUCAUUAAUCAAGAACGAAAGUUAGGGGAUCGAAGACGAUCAGAUACCGUCGUAGUCUUAACCAUAAACUAUGC